AUUGAACGCUGGCGGCAGGCUUAACACAUGCAAGUCGAGCGGAGUGAUGGUGCUUGCACUAUCACUUAGCGGCGGACGGGUGAGUAAUGCUUAGGAAUCUGCCUAUUAGUGGGGGACAACAUCUCGAAAGGGAUGCUAAUACCGCAUACGUCCUACGGGAGAAAGCAGGGGAUCACUUGUGACCUUGCGCUAAUAGAUGAGCCUAAGUCGGAUUAGCUAGUUGGUGGGGUAAAGGCCUACCAAGGCGACGAUCUGUAGCGGGUCUGAGAGGAUGAUCCGCCACACUGGGACUGAGACACAGGCCAGACUCCUACGGGAGGCAGCAGUGGGGAAUAUUGGACAAUGGGGGGAACCCUGAUCCAGCCAUGCCGCGUGUGUGAAGAAGGCCUUAUGGUUGUAAAGCACUUUAAGCGAGGAGGAGGCUCUUUUGGUUAAUACCCAAGAUGAGUGGACGUUACUCGCAGAAUAAGCACCGGCUAACUCUGUGCCAGCAGCCGCCGUAA
rnacentral:rRNA from 1 species